AUUUCUUCGACUCAGAGCCCCGAGUGGCAGCUUGCAACAUGUGCCAAAGAUAAAAGAGACAGUGCAAGCAGUGGAGGAGCAGAGAUGGAGAGAGAAAAUCCCAAGCAGGCUCUACACUCUCAGUGUGAAGCCCAGUUGGGGGCUCGAUCCUACAAACUAUACCCUGGGCCUUCCUGCUGUCUCCACUCUACUCCCUGUGAAAAUCUGCUGUCCUGGAAUUUGCUGAAAAAUUUACACCCAGAUAAGACCAAGGCAUUUAAUGCUGUUUGAUGUUAGCUUGUUUUAAUAAGGAGAAAAAUCUCAGAUACUAUUAGAACCCAAAGUAUUGAGAAUGAACUGGGCAUGCACGUUGAUAGGUUGGGAAAACUUGACGCUACCUUUGAAG
rnacentral:lncRNA from 1 species